ensembl:lncRNA
UGUUGAUCCACUAACUGAAAGGUUGUGGGUUCUAAUCCUUGAGCCUAUAAUGUAAAAUAAAAACUGAUUUGCCUUAAAGCAAGGUACUUCAACCAAAUGAAUGUUGCCAUAAGUCGUUCUAGAUAAGAAUCGACUGCUAAAGGACUCUACAAUGGAAAGGUCGAGCGAGUUAAGUUAAUAUGUAAAAAUACUUCAUAAAAUGUAUUUUAUACAAGAAUUUACAUAUUAUUUACAUACAAAAGCCAUGCCCCCCGUCCUUGAAUGUGCCUAAAUAAUUUAAAGGGGCGAAUGAGGCCUCGCUAGUGUUAAAUGAAAAAUUUGAGGACCAACCUUAAGUAGAGUGGUGCAAGCAUUUGGCCUUCCAGACACAGGGAAGAGUAGGCGUAUUGGUAAAGUACACACAGCGCUCAAGGAUUCGGCCGGGCUAUUCAAAAAGAAAGAUGACUGUUUGUUUUGUUUUUCUACAGAGAAAGCCGAGAAGAGGUAGGGGGAGCUAGGGUUGAAAGAAUUACAGUUGGAUUAUCCACCAAUCAUUCUUACGCAAUUUCUUCCUGACUUUUGCUUCAUGGAUUUGUAUGAGGACAGAGACCAUAUCACAGCUGACAGGACUACAACAUUUAUGCAUUUCCUCAACGAUGACCUUCUAGUUGUUUAUUUAUCGCCCGCAAGGAGACAGGGCACAUUCAUGCCUCUGCACUCAAGUUCUGUCAUUGUUAGCCCCUGACAAGCCACUGCCAGAGUGCACAAGAGACGAGAUCCUCAGUGUUAUGUUCGAAAGCUGCUGGGACGGCUGAAACACUUUUAGUUGCAUUAUCAAGCACAAGCGCCGCCAAUCAGCUCACACCACUGCCUCAAACAUCCCGCAAUGUCUGGAGAGGUAACUGCAUCAUAUGUUACGGCCCUCUGUCAGUGGUUGAAAGUUGAUGACAUGGCAGCCGCUGGUUAAUGCGUGGAGCGUCUGUGAACAGGAACGUGACCGGUGUGACAACUAGUGUGGCCAGUGCGAGCAAACGACUGCUGUCUGAACACACGCACACAUCUGAUUAAGUCACUUGUGAUCCGCGGUUCGGACUGAUUUGAGGAGCAUAACUGAUUUGACGAUUGCACCCUGCUGUGUGAACAUUUCAGAAUGUCCAGCGAGGUUCGACACAAUGCACUUCCACUGAAUAUUAGACAGGACUCGGAGCGCUUUUCCCUGAGCUGGCAGAUGAAUGUUGCUGCCUGUCUGCCUGCUGAAGAUACGGCGCGAUGGAUUCAACCUUAUAAGCAACACCCAAGAAAGCAGAUCUGUUAGAAUAGCCUUUGUCACAAUAUCUCUAUAAGGGAGGCGUUUUUGGACUGAAUUGACCGCAACAUUUAUAAGAUUAGCAUUUCAAGAUGGUCACAUUGUGUUUUCAUUCACCUUGAAAACGAACAGGUUACUGCAUACACAAUAGGGUCAGAGCACAGUGAUGAUGAACGAAUGCAGGCAGGAACCACUUUUUACAAACUGAAAGAAGAAGUAUCACAAAACUUAAAUUAUUCACAUAAUCAGGAAAACCGUGGCUCAGGACAUUGGGGAUGUCCCAAUUUCCAUAAUGCACAAACAAAGUAUGGUGUUAAAAGCCUUCUAUGCAUAUUCUUCCCAUUGUCCCACCAUUAAAACAGUUGCGCAUCUUCUGCGAAAACACUUUCCCUCUUCUCUCCCUCUAUGGAAUACAACAACACGUGCCUCCUGACACUUUGUCAGUCACGUCACCCUCUUUGAACUCACUCAGAAAAUCCAUGCAAUAUAUUUUCUAGACAAUGCUUAAGAGUAAAGUGAUGAAUGCUUAAAGACUUGAAGUGCAACUCUUAACUUUUAUCAAUAAUCCUAAAUACAAAAGGUGUCUGUCUGUCCUGAAAUCAACAGUCAGUUUGGGGAUGAGUAAGAAGGAGGGCAAUAUCUUUUGGGGACACAUUCUACUCGGAUAACCUUUGGGGACACAUUCUACUCGGAUAACCUUUGGGGACACAUUCUACUCAGAUAUCUUUUGGGGACACUUUCUGCUCAGAUUUUUUUGGGGACACAUUCUGCUCAGAUAUCUUUGUUGGCUAGCUAGACUGCUUACAUGUGAUACACAAGGUUCCAGGCAACAAGAUUACGACAAUGUAUACAUUAUAAUGCAAUAACAUCCAAUUAGUUUACACUAAUUACUAUUUAACUCUGUGCCUCAGCAUAUUUGCUCAGAAAGUGAGGCUUUUCCUUAUUCAUAUAUUUUGUACAAAACGAUUGCCAGUUUAAGCUAACUAACUUGGGAGUGGAGGGCAGACAAACUCCCUGAAUAGUCUUCUUCUUAUUCUGGCCCUCAGUAAUCAGCUACAUGCUUAAAAAAUGUGUUGUAAAUAUUCUGACUAUUAAUUAAUAUCCUGUUGCUUAAUAUUCUCACCAGUUUUGUUCAGAAAUAUAAUGUCCACCAAGUAUUACGUUGUUAUAUGCCAAGUAGGGUCAGUCCUUGUCGGUCGCUGGCUGGGAACAAUUGUUGUGUCACCCGAAAUUGUGUUGUGUGUUUUCAGUUUUCUUUUGUUCAUUGAUGCCCGUCUUGGCCAAGACACUCCUGUAAAAUUAUUUUUAAUCUGAGUCUUUUUGUCAUGGUUAAACAAAAGUUAGAAAAAGCCAAAUCCCCAGGGCAGUGAUGCUGGGUCGUUGCCCCAUCUAGGGAGCCAUCUGUUGGAUGGGAUAUAAAAUGGGUGAACCGACUCUUGGUGGUCACUACAGAUCCCACGGUCCUGAUGACAAGACUACUGGUAUUAACCCUGGUGUCAUGGCCUCAUGUCCAAUCUAUCCAUAACACCAAGCCAAAGAACGCUGUAUGGUUCUACUUGGCAUCUUUUAUUUGAUGAGUGUAUGUAUAUGAUAUACUACAUAAAUUACCUUCUCGAAACAUUAUAUUUUUUACGCGAGUGCUAAAAUAAAUGUAACCUAGGAAGGUAAAUCGAGGAUUAAAGAAACAUGUAUCCCAGCAACCCUGGCAGUGGGUGUUGUUAAUUUUUGUUGCCUUGCUGUUGUUUUUGUUGUCAUGGCGAGGAAAUAAAUAAAGAAAAUAUUUCCUGUUAAUCAAUGGUUCUUGAAUGGUUUCGCCUCCGGACCCAAUUUGAACCAGGUUACCUUGUAAUAUGAUAUUCACAUUGCUGAUGUUAUUUUUUUUUGGUUGACUGAAAUGCUAUGUGGAG